rnacentral:rRNA from 1 species
AACGAACGCUGGCGGCAUGCCUAACACAUGCAAGUCGAACGAGACCUUCGGGUCUAGUGGCGCACGGGUGCGUAACGCGUGGGAAUCUGCCCUUGGGUUCGGAAUAACAGUUAGAAAUGACUGCUAAUACCGGAUAAUGUCUUCGGACCAAAGAUUUAUCGCCCAGGGAUGAGCCCGCGUAGGAUUAGCUAGUUGGUGAGGUAAAGGCUCACCAAGGCGACGAUCCUUAGCUGGUCUGAGAGGAUGAUCAGCCACACUGGGACUGAGACACGGCCCAGACUCCUACGGAGGCAGCAGUGGGAAUAUUGGACAAUGGCGAAAGCCUGAUCCAGCAAUGCCGCGUGAGUGAUGAAGGCCUUAGGGUUGUAAAGCUCUUUACCCGGGAUGAUAAUGACAGUACCGGGAGAAUAAGCCCCGGCUAACUCCGUGCCAGCAGCCGCGGUAAU